rnacentral:rRNA from 1 species
UGGGGAAUAUUGGACAAUGGGCGCAAGCCUGAUCCAGCCAUGCCGCGUGUGUGAAGAAGGCCUUUUGGUUGUAAAGCACUUUAAGCGAGGAGGAGGCUACUUGGAUUAAUACUCUAGGAUAGUGGACGUUACUCGCAGAAUAAGCACCGGCUAACUCUGUGCCAGCAGCCGCGGCAAUACAGAGGGGGCGAGCGUUAAUCGGAUUUACUGGGAGUAAAGCGUGCGUAGGCGGCUUCUUAAGUCGGAUGUGAAAUCCCUGAGCUUAACUUAGGAAUUGCAUUCGAUACUGGGAAGCUAGAGUAUGGGAGAGGAUGGUAGAAUUCCAGGUGUAGCGGUGAAAUGCGUAGAGAUCUGGAGGAAUACCGAUGGCGAAGGCAGCCAUCUGGCCUAAUACUGACGCUGAGGUACGAAAGCAUGGGGAGCAAACAGG